GUGUCAGCAGCCGCGGUAAGACAGAGGGUGCAAACGUUGUUCGGAUUUACUGGGCGUAAAGCGCGUGUAGGCGGCUUGGCAAGUCGGAUGUGAAAGCCCACGGCUCAACCGUGGAAGCGCAUCCGAAACGGCCUCGCUCGAGUCUCGGAGAGGAAGGUGGAAUGCUUGGUGUAGAGGUGAAAUUCGUAGAUAUCAAGCAGAACACCUGCGGCGAAGGCGGCCUUCUGGACGAUGACUGACGCUGAGACGCGAAAGCGUGGGGAGCAAACAGGAUUAGAUACCCUGGUAGUCC
rnacentral:rRNA from 1 species